GAUGAACGCUGGCGGCGUGCCUAAUACAUGCAAGUCGAGCGAACAGACGAGGAGCUUGCUCCUCUGACGUUAGCGGCGGACGGGUGAGUAACACGUGGAUAACCUGCCUAUAAGACUGGGAUAACUUCGGGAAACCGGAGCUAAUACCGGAUAAUAUAUUGAACCGCAUGGUUCAAUAGUGAAAGACGGUUUUGCUGUCACUUAUAGAUGGAUCCGCGCCGCAUUAGCUAGUUGGUAAGGUAACGGCUUACCAAGGCAACGAUGCGUAGCCGACCUGAGAGGGUGAUCGGCCACACUGGAACUGAGACACGGUCCAGACUCCUACGGGAGGCAGCAGUAGGGAAUCUUCCGCAAUGGGCGAAAGCCUGACGGAGCAACGCCGCGUGAGUGAUGAAGGUCCUCGGAUCGUAAAACUCUGUUAUUAGGGAAGAACAAAUGUGUAAGUAACUAUGCACGUCUUGACGGUACCUAAUCAGAAAGCCACGGCUAACUACGUG
rnacentral:rRNA from 1 species